UACGAAGGGGGCUAGCGUUGUUCGGAUUUACUGGGCGUAAAGCGCGUGUAGGCGGAUUUGUAAGUCAGGGGUGAAAUCCCGGGGCUCAACCUCGGAACUGCCUUUGAUACUGCAAAUCUCGAGUCCGGAAGAGGUGAGUGGAAUUCCUAGUGUAGAGGUGAAAUUCGUAGAUAUUAGGAAGAACACCAGUGGCGAAGGCGGCUCACUGGUCCGGUACUGACGCUGAGGUGCGAAAGCGUGGGGAGCAAACAGG
rnacentral:rRNA from 1 species